rnacentral:tRNA from 1 species
GGGGUCGUCUGCUAGUCUGGUUAGGCUCUGUGCUUAGGGAGCAUAAGACCCGAGUUCAAAUCUCGGCGACCCCG